CUAAUUGUCGUAACAGGUGAAAACCCUGUUUCCUGUUCAAGGUGAAUAUAUUUCUUAAUCUAUAUGUUAAUAUUCAGUAGAACAACCAGGUGCAAGUGAAGUGCUGAUGUGCUUGUGGUAGGUGUUUCUUUUGUUACUAUGAAGGGUGGUAUCUUUUCUUUUUUAAUUCGGUUUUUUUGAACUGUACAUGGCAUUGUAGUGUUUCUUUAUUCUGUAUGGCCAGUUUUCAGUGAAGAGACAGUAAUGGUUCUAAUAAUUUCUCAUAAAUUAUCUUAAAGAAUGAGUCAGUUACCAAACAGUGUUUAUUACAGUUCUAUCCUUAAUUGGCUGUUUAUAGGG
rnacentral:lncRNA from 1 species